CCUACGGGAGGCAGCAGUGGGGAAUAUUGGACAAUGGGGGCAACCCUGAUCCAGCCAUGCCGCGUGUGUGAAGAAGGCCUUAGGGUUGUAAAGCACUUUCACUGGUGAAGAUGAUGACGGUAGCCAGAGAAGAAGCCCCGGCUAACUCCGUGCCAGCAGCCGCGGUAAU
rnacentral:rRNA from 1 species